rnacentral:rRNA from 1 species
GAUGAACGCUGGCGGCGUGCCUAACACAUGCAAGUCGAACGGAGUCCAGCCUUUAAGACCUUCGGGUCAAAGAGGGGAAGACUGAGUGGCGGACGGGUGAGUAACACGUGGGCAACCUGGCUCAUAGAGGGGGAUAACAGAGAGAAAUUUCUGCUAAUACCGCAUAAGCACACACUGCCGCAUGGCAGAGGGUGAAAAGAGAAUCGCUAUGAGAUGGAACCGCGUCUGAUUAGCCAGUUGGCAGGGUAAGAGCCUACCAAAGCGACGAUCAGUAGCCGAUCUGAGAGGAUGAACGGCCACAUUGGGACUGAGACACGGCCCAAACUCCUACGGGAGGUAGCAGUGGGGGAUAUUGCACAAUGGGGGGAACCCUGAUGCAGCGACGCCGCGUGAGUGAAGAAGUAUUUCGGUAUGUAAAGCUCUAUCAGCAGGGAAGAUAAUGACAGUACCUGAAUAAGAAGCCCCGGCUAACUACGUG